AUGACUGGUCGUGCUAAAUCUGCGGGUUCUCGUAUCGAGGUGGACAUCGAGAAAAAUAGAGAAGAAGGAAACUGGACGAAAGUUAUUGAGCUAGCUGAACAGCUCAAAGAGAAAUCUUCAGAUUUUCAAUGUCUGUCGGAUUUCUUAAUCGGAGAAGGUAAAUUGGAGAGUUAUUUGGAAGAGUGGCCUCCAAUUGAGUUGAACAUUCACCGAGCUAAAAAAGGACUUAUCGAAGCCAAAGCUUACUUAAAUAAGGUUAUUACGAAAGAAGGAGUUCAGGCAGGGGUUGCAAUGGACGCUCAUUUACUUUUAGGUAAACUUAACUAUACCUGCGGACAAUAUUCAGACGGGCUUAAAAACUUUAGUGAUGGCGAACUACAAAAAUUAUCAGAAAAAAGAUUACCUUUGAGAAGUUUAAAAAUAGUUGCAGAAUCAUAUGCGAUUAAAGGGCUAUGCUUGCAAAAAGAUAUGUCUGCAUCAAAUUCAUCAAGUAAAUUCAAAAAAGCAGAAAAAGAAGAAGAACUAGCCAGGUGUUUUGAUUUAGCCUCGGACUUGAGUUUGUUGUACAUGCAAAAACUUGAGAAGGAAAUUAAUACUACUUCGAUAGGAAGUACCGGGACAACAGGUAGUCACUCUCCACAACCACCAGGGCCACAUAAAACUCUCGGAGAAGUGCUCGAACAAGCAUUACAGGCAGCUCCAAUUGCUCUGUUGCAUCAGGGCAAGCCUGAUCUAGCAUUAGAAAGAUAUAGGAAUUCAUUAUAUGCAGUUGAAUCUCACGGGGUGCACAAUAUAAGACUGAAAUUCAUGACACAAAUGGCCGAGUUACUUUUACAGGGUCUAGUGGGGCAAAAAUAUCAAGCACCGCUAAAUGCCAACCCCAAAGCCUCUGUUUGGAAGCCCAAAUAUUAUUCGUCGUUGAAUCAGUUCAUACCGAGAUGCGAGAGCGAAGAAAUUAUUCUGGCCUUGCUGGUGGCCGAAUCGAUGGCCGUUCGUAACGCCGUACUGUCGCAAAGUCCGGAAUUCAAGGAGGCCCGAUUGAGCGCCUACCAGGACGCCACAACCGUCUACGACUUACUCACCGUGGCCACGGUCAGGUGGGGACAAAUAUCCCUGUUGCAAGAGUCUUUGGAAAGGUCGAUGAAAUUCUCUUUUGAAGAGCCCCACCUAUGGAAACAGCACGCUCUUGCUUCUUUGACCAUAGGAAACUACGAUCAUGCUCUGGCAGUACUAAAAGAAGUUAUUAGGUUAGAACCAAACAAUUCCAGCAAUUGUUUGCUGGCUGCUAGAUUAUGUUUUGAACAUCUCAAUCUUCCUGAAGAAGGUAUAGCAUUUUCUUUACAAGCUAGAGAAAAAGAAAUAAAUUCACCAUCAGGUUUGCUGGGGAGGUGUCACUUGUAUGCUGGCAUCGGUUAUCACCUUCUUGCAGAAGCUAGCCUCCUUAAAAAAGACAAGGAAGCGUUGAGAUGCAAGGCUAUCGACAAUAUACGCACUGCGGUCGAACUAGAACCCAACGACCACCUAUCCAGGUACUACCUGGGUUUGCAAUUGGCCAUCACUGGCCAAACUUCCGAGGCUCAAAGUCACAUUCAAAUUGGGUUGGGGCUUCAUCCAGAACACUCCACCACUCUGCACUUACUCAUCCUGGUACUUACGGCCGAAAGACAGCACAAACUGGCACUGACCGUCGUGGAAAACGCCCUAGAAGAGUAUCCGGACUGUCUGAACUUGUUGUACGUCAAAACGCAUCUGGAGUUGCACGAAAAAGGCGGCGAAGUAGCAUUGAUUACAGCAAGACAAAUGCUCGAACUGUGGAAGAAUUUAUACGAAGGUCAGACGAUAUCUGACGUACCAGAAUGUGACAGAAAAAGUGACACAAGAUCGGUGUUUCAACUAUAUACAUCGGAAAUGUCAGACAAAGACUCCAGCUCUCUACAACUUCACAACACCGCAGUAUCCAGGGUGGAGCAGGCGCUGAGCGAGGUUGCCAGUUCGAUGAGCAGUUUCAGUCCGAAACCCGGCCCGCAGAGGGCGUGGAUGUUGCAAUUGGAGGUGUGGCUUUUACUUGCCGAGCUGUAUUUGGCCUUGGACCAAAUAGCUGACGUGCAGCAAUGCAUUCAGGAGGCCAGUCAGAUUUAUCCGUUGAGUCAUCACAUUAUGCAUAUGACCUAUAUUUUUAUAGAAGGGGCUGUUGCAUAUGCACAAAGAAGACUGGACGGAGGCAAAAUUCUGUUUCCAAAAUGCAGUGGCUAUAAACCCACUGCACGUAAAAUCCUUACAACAACUGGGUUUAGUUUACCAUUACCUAGGAUUGCAAGGGUUGGCUGAAACUACCCUUAGGGAAGCGGCGAAAAUCGAACCUCACAAUACCAUUACAUGGUAUAAUUUGGGAAAGGUUUUGGAAGCGAUGGGAGAGUAUGAAAAAGCGGGUAAUUCUAUGGCUACAGCUUUAUUGGAAGAAAGAAAUAAUCCAAUAUUGCCGUUCAGUUCUGUGCCAUUAUGUUUUGAGUGAACCUAUAUCUGUUUUGGUAAAAAAAA